AACGUAGGAGACAAACGUUAUCCGGAGUUACUGGGCGUAAAGGGCGUGUAGGUGGUUUCGUAAGUCUGGCGUGAAAUUUUUCGGCUUAACCGGGAAAGGUCGUCGGAUACUGCGGAGCUAGAGGACGGUAGAGGCGUGUGGAAUUCCGAGUGUAGAGGUGAAAUUCGUAGAUAUUCGGAAGAACACCAGUGGCGAAGGCGACUCACUGGACAUGUAUUGACGCUGAGGUGCGAAAGCGUGGGGAGCAAACAGG
rnacentral:rRNA from 1 species